GACGAACGCUGGCGGCGUGCCUAAUACAUGCAAGUAGAACGCACAGUUUAUACCGUAGCUUGCUACACCAUAGACUGUGAGUUGCGAACGGGUGAGUAACGCGUAGGUAACCUGCCUGGUAGCGGGGGAUAACUAUUGGAAACGAUAGCUAAUACCGCAUGAUAUUGAUUAUUGCAUGAGAAUUGAUUGAAAGAUGCUAUUGCAUCACUACCAGAUUGACCUGCGUUGUAUUAGCUAGUAGGUGAGGUAACGGCUCACCUAGGCGACGAUACAUAGCCGACCUGCGAGGGGGGUCGGCCACCCUGGGACUGAGACACGGCCCAGACUCCUAAGGGAGGCAGCAGUAGGGAAUCUUCGGCAAUGGACGAAAGUCUGAACGCGCAACGCCGCGUGAGUGAAGAAGGUUUUCGGAUCGUAAAGCUCUGUUGUAAGAGAAGAACGGGUGUGAGAGUGGAAAGUUCACACUGUGACGGUAUCUUACCAGAAAGGGACGGCUAACUACGUG
rnacentral:rRNA from 1 species